rnacentral:rRNA from 1 species
AGUGAACGCUGGCGGUAGGCCUAACACAUGCAAGUCGAACGGCAGCACAGUAAGAGCUUGCUCUUACGGGUGGCGAGUGGCGGACGGGUGAGGAAUACAUCGGAAUCUACUUUUUCGUGGGGGAUAACGUAGGGAAACUUACGCUAAUACCGCAUACGACCUACGGGUGAAAGCAGGGGAUCUUCGGACCUUGCGCGAUUGAAUGAGCCGAUGUCGGAUUAGCUAGUUGGCGGGGUACAGGCCCACCAAGGCGACGAUCCGUAGCUGGUCUGAGAGGAUGAGAAGACACACUGGAACUGAGACAAGGUCCAGACUCCUACGGGACGCAGCAGUGGGGAAUAUUGGACAAGGGGCGAGAGCCUGAUCCAGCCAUGCCGGGUGAGUGAAGAAGGGAUGCGGAUGGUAAAGCAUUUUAAGUUGGGAGGAAGGGAAGUAAGUGAAUACCUUGCUGUCUUGACGUUACCAAAAGAAUAGGAACCGGCAAACUUCGUG